rnacentral:lncRNA from 1 species
CGCCACGGUGACUUUUAAGUAACUCACUGCACUUAGGCACUGGACUACCUGAAUUUUUAAUUCAGUGACGGAAGGCUGCUGGGUGUAGUCAAGUACUUGACUUGUCGGUGCGUGUGUCAAGAUGAGAUUGACCACUCCAGUUUAGGAGCUGUGUACAGUUGUGUUUCAAUUUAGCAAAACCUUGGCCAGGGUAGUCCUUGUGAGGAGUCACAGGACUGUUUGAGU